GCAGGGCAGAGGCAAUCUCAGAGACCCCCAUGGCUUUCUUGCAGCAAGGCUCCUUCUCAAGGUCUCUCCUGGAGCACUGAGAGAGAAUUCAGGUUCACAUACAUGAGUGUGAGGAGCUGUCUCUUUGGAGUUUUCUCCUUUCCCACUACUGAUAUUGCUAGAAAACAGACAUCCCUGUUGAGAAGAACAAGAUUAUAUGAUGGGGUUGCCUGUGAUGGCAGGGGACUAGUUUUGGCGACUCAGGAAGUCCCCGUGAAUGAACAGUCUGUGGUAUGGAACAAAGAUCUAUGGAAGAGGCCUGUGGCAGGGGCCUAGGGAACGCAGUGUGUCAGCUGAGCUCUUGAGAGACCAGGAGUCUGACAUAAGACUGCCAAUGAGUUCUUGAACAGAGGGAAGCAGCAACAGAACCUGGGAGGGCCUUGAUGGAGGACUGCUAGGGACAAGGCCUUAAAGAGAGACAAGCAUUACUGGUGUGGAAAAAGUGACGCUGUGGCCUGGAGAAUGUGAAGGUUUGAUCCAUGUUCCAAGGCGACAAGAAGAACCUCUCUCCUGAGAUAGGAGAGACUACUGAGGCCCUUCAAAUGAGGAACGAAGGGCAUGUUUGUGGAAGGCCUGUUUUUGAUUGGCUUUUGUGCCAGAAGAGAAGGACUUCUGUUUCGUGUGAAGGGCCAACGCACAAGUCACCCUACUAGCCUACAGCAGCCACAGCAAGAGAACCGAGGCAGCCAUUACAUUCUCAAUAAACUACAGUGGAAAUGCUCAGGGUGA